CUACGGGCGGCAGCAGUUAGGUAUAAUCUGCAAUGCGCGCAAGCGUGACAGUUUGAGCCAGAGUGCUUUUCAAAUGAAAAGCUUUUGCCAUAUGUAAAAAGUGUGGCGAAUAAGGACUGGGUAAGACGAGUGCCAGCCGCCGCGGUAAUACUCGCGGUCCAAGUCGCAGCCAUUUUUAUUGGGUCUAAAACAUCCGUAGCUUGCUAAGUAAGUUCUCUGUGAAAUCUGGCGUCUCAAACGUCAGGCGGGCAGGGAAUACUGCUAAGCUAGAGACCGGAAGACGUAAGGAGUACGUUCUGAAGUAGCGGUAAAAUGUGUUAAUCUCAGACGGACUAACAAUAGCGAAGGCACCUUACGAGGACGGUUCUGACAGUAAGGGAUGAAGGCUAGGGGCGCAAAACGGAUUAGAUACCCCGGUAGUC
rnacentral:rRNA from 1 species